UACAGAGGGGGCGAGCGUUGUUCGGAAUUACUGGGCGUAAAGGGCGCGUAGGCGGCCCGCUAAGUCGAACGUGAAAUCCCUCGGCUCAACCGAGGAACUGCGUCCGAUACUGGAUGGCUUGAAUCCGGGAGAGGGAUGCAGAAUUCCAGGUGUAGCGGUGAAAUGCGUAGAUAUCUGGAGGAAUACCGGUGGCGAAGGCGGCAUCCUGGACCGGCAUUGACGCUGAGGAGCGAAAGCUAGGGGAGCAAACGGGG
rnacentral:rRNA from 1 species